rnacentral:rRNA from 1 species
AAUCAACGCUGGCGGCGCGCUUAACACAUGCAAGUCGAACGAGAAAGGGUAGCAAUACCUGAGUAAAGUGGCGUACUGGUGAGUAACACGUGGGUAAUCUACUCUUUAGUGGGGAAUAACCCUGGGAAACUAGGGCUAAUACCGCAUAAGCCUGUAAAGGGAAAGCAGCAAUGCGCUGGAAGAAGAGUCCGCGGCCGAUUAGCUAGUUGGUGAGGUAACGGCCCACCAAGGCGACGAUCGGUAGCCGGCCUGAGAGGGCACACGGCCACACUGGCACUGAAACACGGGCCAGACUCCUACGGGAGGCAGCAGUGGGGAAUCUUGCACAAUGGACGAAAGUCUGAUGCAGCGACGCCGCGUGAGCGAUGAAGCCCUUCGGGGUGUAAAGCUCUUUCGGCAGGAACGAUAAUGACGGUACCUGAAGAAGAAGCUGCGGCUAACUACGUGCCAGCAGCCGCGGUAAUACGUAGGCAGCAAGCGUUGUUCGGAAUUACUGGGCGUAAAGAGUGUGUAGGCGGUGCUCUAAGUUGGUGUGAAAUCUCCCGGCUAACUGGGAGGGUGCGCCGAAAACUGGAAUGCUUGAACAUGGGAGAGGAAAGCGGA